rfam:Pseudomonas sp. StFLB209 DNA, complete genome.
GGUCGGGGCAUUGCCUUGACUGGGGGCGAGAUCCUCUUUAGACUCUUGUACCCCUAAAUUUGACAGGGCCUAUCGCCCUGUCAUUUGCUUUCUUGCAGGCAAUAGCGUCUGCAAGUCAACAGUGGAGCUAGUAGA